rnacentral:rRNA from 1 species
CACGCCGUAAACGAUGAUGACUAACUAUGGCCGUGAGGCCGUGGUGAAGCUAACGCAUUAAGUCAUCCGCCUGGGAAGUACGGUCGCAAGACUGAAACUUAAAGGAAUUGACGGGUCCCCGCACAAGCAGUGGAGCAUGAGGUUUAAUUCGACGCUACGCGAAGAACCUUACCAGAACUUGACAUGGCGGAUAAUGCUGCAGAAAUGCAGAGAUAAUACCCGCACACAGGUGG